rnacentral:rRNA from 1 species
UGGCGGACGGGUGAGUAACGCGUGGGUAACCUGCCUCAUACAGGGGGAUAACAGUUAGAAAUGACUGCUAAUACCGCAUAAGCGCACAAAACCGCAUGGUUUGGUGUGAAAAACUGAGGUGGUAUGAGAUGGACCCGCGUCUGAUUAGCUAGUUGGAGAGGUAACGGCUCACCAAGGCAACGAUCAGUAGCCGACCUGAGGGGGUGAACGGCCACAUUGGGACUGAGACACGGCCCAAACUCCUACGGAAGGCAGCAG